rnacentral:miRNA from 1 species
ACGUGCGUGGUAGUUUAACCUUCUCGUGCAUCGUAGUUUAGCCUUUACGUGCGUCGUAGUUUAACGUCCACGUACGU